GGGAUAAGAAUCUGUCAAUGGGCAUGAUCAUUUACAAGUUCUAGAAUUGAAAUUAUUCUUGAACAGAAUUAAGUGCAAGAUGAAAUAGAUGUUCAAUGGAAACUCAAUUGGGUAUUUGAGCAAGAUCAAAUGCAAGAUGAAGCAACAAAAAAAAAGAAGUGCAGCAGAAAGUUUCUAUUUUCCCGUGUUUUUGGCUCUUCAAAAUUGCACAGAUACUACUUGGAUAUAUGUUGAUAGUUGUAGUGGAUAUUUGUUUUUUUAGUAUUGUUUUUCAGCUUUCUUCCUUGAGGGCAAGGAAGC
rnacentral:misc_RNA from 1 species